UACGUAGGGUGCGAGCGUUGUCCGGAAUCAUUGGGCGUAAAGAGCUCGUAGGCGGUCUGUUGCGUCCGCUGUGAAAACUCGGGGCUUAACCCCGAGCUUGCAGUGGAUACGGGCAGACUAGAGGUAGGUAGGGGAGAAUGGAAUUCCCGGUGUAGCGGUGAAAUGCGCAGAUAUCGGGAGGAACACCGGUGGCGAAGGCGGUUCUCUGGGCCUUACCUGACGCUGAGACGCGAAAGCGUGGGGAGCAAACAGG
rnacentral:rRNA from 1 species